GAGAACGACAAAUGAACUGCUAAAUCACAACACCGAGCUCAACCCCUCGGACUUCUC
rnacentral:tRNA from 1 species